UUGCACACAAGAGGUUGUUAACUCUGGCAGUCUCACCAGAUUCGGGUAUGUUCUCAUUGUCUCUUCAGUCUCCCCAGCCAAAUCCUAAUGGGGGAAUGAGUCUGUGCCUAUGAGGUCGUCGGGAGGGGCUGUGGAACAUGCAAUCAGGAAAGAAAAGGAAUGGUCUUUUCCUCCUAUGAAACCUGGAGCAUGAUAACCGCUCUGGGUCUAUACGAACACUGUCGGAGGCUCUCAGACAACAGGGACGGGUCAUAGCCUACAUAUGAAAAUGUACAUGUGGGUAAAUGGCCCAAUCCUCAGUAGACUGAGGUUCAUAGAGCGUGUGUGGGAUGAGCCUCGGAUGGGACUGGGAGAGCAGAGUGGACCGAUGCAUGGCUCUUCUGCCCCGGGUCCGGGGAAAAGGGUGAGCAUUCUGGACCCCAGGGACGUGCUGCUUCUCUAAAGCCUCGGUUGACAAGGGCAAACACCACCUAACCCCUUAAUCCAGUCUCUAGAAACAACAAGAUCAUCUGUCACCAUUAUUUAAAAUGCACAGAAACCCAAACCAACCAACAAGCAUCAACCCCUUACUUCUAGCAGGCAUUGUGCUCUGCAAGGGAUAAAAUAAGCCUCUGAAGCAACAGCUCACAGGAACUGGAAGAGAGCCACACGUGGUCUCGGGGAUGCCUGGGACAGGAGCUGAGGUAGGAAUCUGAGACAGAGAUCUCCAGCUGCUUCACCUGCCCCCAGUCUCAGUUGGCCUGGGAAGUCCCUUUCAUGUCCUGGGGCAAGUCCUAUGUAGCAUUAUCAUGGACAACACGGUCAUGCAGCCACAGAGCCACAGACAGGGUGGGACAGUCAGCUUGGCAACUCAUUAUCACUAAUCUAUAAACGCCCCCCAAACAUCGCAGCAAUCCAUGUCCACUGAUUCCGUCCCAGUGUGUUUGAGGGAGAAA